CCUACGGGGGGCAGCAGUGGGGGAUAUUGCACAAUGGGGGGAACCCUGAUGCAGCGACGCCGCGUGGGUGAAGAAGCGCCUCGGCGCGUAAAGCCCUGUCAGCAGGGAAGUAAAUGACGGUACCUGAAGAAGAAGCCCUGGCUAACUACGUGCCAGCAGCCGCGGUAAUACGUAGGGGGCAAGCGUUAUCCGGAGUUACUGGGUGUAAGGGGGGCGCAGACGGGGUUGCAAGCCAGGAGUGAAAGCCCGGGGCCCAACCCCGGGACUGCUCUUGGAACUGCGUGGCUGGAGUGCAGGAGGGGCAGGCGGAAUUCCUGGUGUAGCGGUGAAAUGCGUAGAUAUCAGGAGGAACACCGGUGGCGAAGGCGGCCUGCUGGACUGCAACUGACGUUGAGGCCCGAAAGCGUGGGGAGCAAACAGGAUUAGAUACCCGUGUAGUC
rnacentral:rRNA from 1 species